rnacentral:rRNA from 1 species
AUUGAACGCUGGCGGCAGGCCUAACACAUGCAAGUCGAGCGGAUGAAGGGUGCUUGCUCCUGGAUUCAGCGGCGGACGGGUGAGUAAUGCCUAGGAAUCUGCCUGGUAGUGGGGGAUAACGUCCGGAAACGGGCGCUAAUACCGCAUACGUCCUGAGGGAGAAAGUGGGGGAUCUUCGGACCUCACGCUAUCAGGUGAGCCUAGGUCGGAUUAGCUAGUUGGUGGGGUAAAGGCCUACCAAGGCGACGAUCCGUAACUGGUCUGAGAGGAUGAUCAGUCACACUGGAACUGAGACACGGUCCAGAGUCCUACGGGAGGGAGCAGUGGGGAAUAGUGGACAAUGGGCGAAAGCCUGAUCCAGCCAUGCGGCGUGUGUGAAGAAGGUCUUCGGAUGGUAAAGCACGUUAAGUUGGGAGGAAGGGCAGUAAGUUAAUACCUUGCUGUUUUGACGUUACCAACAGAAUAAGCAACGGCUAACUUCGUG